GUCUAUGGCCAUACCACCCUAAUCAUGAAAGCAAAGCAGGGGAGACUUGGAGGGGAGACUGCCAGGGAAUACCGGGUGCUGUAGGCU
ensembl:rRNA 5S_rRNA 5S ribosomal RNA